AGACCGGUGAGGGAGCCCCGAGGAGCAACGAGCAGGCAGCACAGGGUGGGACCGGCCAACCGGAUACUCACAUUGGACCGUUUUUACAUUUAUUUGUUUUAGAGGUUUAAACGUUAACACCGGAGUGCACGAGACACAUAAAGCGGCAGUGUGGUCAGGGUGAACUUGCGGGUUUAACGUCUCGUCGAAACCUCUGGAACUGUCAGAAAAAAAUGAUUGAGAGUUAAGGUGUGGCUGAGGGUUUUCUGUAGGCUCCAUCACUGAAAAACGUUAGAAAACGGACUGUGAGAACAGUGUUGUGUGUCCAGUUAGGAAUGAGACUGUAUCUAGCCAACAAUGGCUUUAUAGAUUCUGUUCAGUCAUUUUCAUCAGGGAAGAUAUUACAUAACAAAUGUAUUGCCAUCUUGAUGUGCGCACCUUUUUGGCUCAAGUCCCUCGCAGUAGCCCUAGAUUAAUUCUACUAUCGCGCAGUUAAAAAGUAAGUCGGGUAUUUUUGUUUCUGCUCGGCAGGUCGUUUUUGGUUUCCUUAGUCUGUGAAAUGUAACGGACGUGGCAACUUUACAGAAGCCAGCCCUGCUGAAUGCCACAGGCAGACUGGGCGUGGGGGAAACGUACCAAACAGAGCCUAAUAAUCCUCAAAUAGGCCUGUCAUCCAAGCGCGGUACAAAUUGCGCAUAUUUGACAUAGUAGCCUAUAACCGUACUGACAAGUGCCUCGGUGGAGCUGGUGGAUUUACUCGAAUCAAAGUAAGUGCGACUGUCAAAUACAUUGUGCAAACUUUUUUAGCGGAGGUGACAUUUGAAGGCCACAGGAGAGGGCGUGCUACGGCGUUGUUUUAACAUGUUAACAUAAUACCCGGGUUUAGGAUUAUUUUGUUAGUAAGCAGUGUCAGACUAACCAGAAUGAUAUAGCUCUAAUAGGUGGUGUGUCGGUCGUCCGAGGCCUAUAUAGAAUCAUUGUUUCUGUAUUUGUCUACGAUACAGCGCGGGGAUAUUAGGCUCCUAUAAUGGGAAGGGGCGGGUGUGUCUUUACCGAGGCAAACGUAGGCUAUAGACGUGGAAUUCAUCUAAAUCCAGCAGUGAAGGAGUUGGGUCUAUAUCACAGUAGUCUGCUGACUUAUCAAAGAAUAUAGAGGAGUCGUUCCUCACUCUUGCGAUGCGUUUAUACCACAAUAACUCAAUCAUAAUUAAGUGCACAGGCGGACUGACCCUGUAUAGUCUAAUUAAGAUAAGCUUUAACUCGAGAGGAAAGCAGAGAGCGAAUUCCUCAAGGCCCCACCCUUUGUAGAGCAACAUGGAUGUGGAGAGUUGCCCCCUCCUCCUCCUCCUACUCUCUCUCUCUCUCUCUCUCUCUCCCUCCCUCCCUCCGCGUCAUUCAUUUCCCUUUUAAACCUUGUCUUAUGUUGUUUUCCCACUUCGGUGUCUACAGGUGCCUACUGUCGUCUUGUCUUUUAACCAACUUUAGAUCAUGGCAUCAAGAUCUACUUCCAGGAGUCUACAGAGGUGUUAAUUGGUGGAGAUUGUAGUUGUGAAGGAUUCAUAAGAAAUGCCCAGCACUGACAAGCUUCUCUGGUUAAAUUGCAAAAGUAAGAAUGUCCUUCCCCCCCCCCCAAUUCUAAACGAUGAAUCAAAGCAAUUACACUUUCAGGCCGGAGAUGCUUUGGAAAUGCUUGUUAGUUGCACAGGGCUUUCAUCGGCUUCCCCCACUGCCUUUCCUUUCCUAAAGAGUGCCCGGCCUGCUGUAAUUAUCCCCUCUUUGGGUAGGAAUAGUGAAUUAUACAUGAUGCUGCAGGCUGGUCAGAGGAUCCCACCAUUUGAAGGCCCAGGCCUGUUUUUAAAAGAAAUAACCUCGCCGGUGGUAAUAAUGUCAGAGUCCAAGGACAUGCCCCACCCAUGCAGGAAAGGCUGUGUUGGGACCGGUUUCACAUAACGUAUAUACAAUAACGUAUUUACAAGGCCUCUUUUACUUUGGUUACAAUGACACGUUAUGGGUGUUAAAGGACUGGUAUGUGAUGUGAAAUUGUUAGAAGGAACUGCAUGAAACAUUGUCCGGAUUAAAGUUCACACCAUUGUUAUGCAUUAAGUAAAAAAAUAACUAAAUCUGCAGCCUCAGUAGCUACAUUCUUGCUAUUCAAGGGUAAUAACUGUUGAUUUUUGAAGAAUGACUUUAUUAAGUCAGUUGCUGUUCAGAUGACAUCCUUAUUCACCACUACGGACUCUACUGCUACUUACUGUACAGUAUACCUAUCUUCACUGUUAAGAAGUUACUUCCUUGUGGGCUUCUUUCUACCCUCUCUUUCCUUGGUCAUCUUGUUGAGAGUUAGCUUUGUCUGAGCUUUGAUUGUUUAGCCACAUUGAAUUGACCUGUGUGUGUGUGUGUGUAUGUGUGUGUGUUUAAGCUGGCACAGUCAUUAUCUCUGCAUGGCUAGAUGUGAUUAACACAGCCGUCCAGCAGUGACGCCCAUUGCGCCACACCCCAUACCCAAACACACAGAAAGGGCAUGUAAGAGGGAAGAAAGAUUGAAAUCUGGUGAUGUGCCAGCAAUUUUGUGUUCCUAUGCCCUAGGAUCUAGAGUCAAAUGUCAAGUCAGCCUAAGACUCUUGUGUAGUGUGUGUGUGUGUGUGUGUGUGUGUGUGUGUGUGUGAGAGAGAGAGUAAAUUCAGGGGUCAGCAAAUUUGGAAGGUUUGACAAAAAGGCCUUUUACUCAACUUUCCAAAAUAUCCACAGUAGGAUCUGGAACCGAUUUACCCCCUCAGAGUUGCUGACAUUGAUCAGAACGAUAGCAUGUAAAAAUGUGUCAUUUCUGAGUCCUCCUCUGCUAAUUUAAACCUAUAAAUGACCAAUCCAUCAUGACUUGUUGUAAGUGAGCAUGGCUGAACAUUGAUUGUUAUUGAUGGCCAAUCAAAGAGGGGAGGAUCUGCGGUGGAAAUGCGGUAGCUGCAGUAAGGUUGCACAUUUGUAUGGCCACACCCAGACAGCCUAAGAGAGCUAACUUUUACUAGCUUAGGCUAAUUUUUACACACUUUCGGAUCGACAGCAUUGUUUGUUAAAUAUCUAUAUGUUUCUUCUAAUGUCCAUUUACAGUUGUUUCUCAAGUACAGAAAUUGUAAUUGUGUUAAAAGGGUGUGUGUCUGGUUAAGAGACAAGUGUUGACGUGCUGUGUAUAGUAUCGUCUGAUGAAAAGACAGAUGUACUCUCGGUUCGUGCUUGCAUGUGCACGCAUUCCCAGGACAAGGAUGUGUGGGUGUGUGCAGCAUGUCAAAUUCUAAGAUAGAGUAGUUUGGUGAUGCAGCGCUUACAGUAUUAUACAGUAACUGUGUCCAAGACUAUAUUGUUACUGCCUCAAAUGGAGAGGGAUAGUCACCACUCCUCAGCAGGGCUGUGUGUGGUUUGCCAGGCUAGUACACAUGUACAACACAUGUUGCACUGUGUGUGUGCCUGGCCACUAGAAAGGUUCCUUCUAGCAACAAAAAUGUAAAACUAUAUACACAUUCAUAGAGCCAGAGGUAGUAGCCUGAGGGAAGAGAUAUACAGAGAAAGAAACUACAGCAGCCGGUAUGCAAGCACAGAGAGUUAAAUUGAAACGUAACUGUAGUUCUGAACUUCAAUUCUAGCCUCAUGCAGGCACAGGCUGAGCUAAACUUAAGCAGUGUAAAGAUUAUUUUAGUUUAAAGCAAUGCUGUAGCUUGCUCAGAUUUGGGCUAGUCUCUGCAGGGCCAGCGGUGAGGAGCAGUGGGCCUCUUGGCAGACCGGCUGGAAUGUGGACCAUAUGUAGCAGGCAUUCCAGGAAUGUAACUCGGCCUUGCUGAACUGACCAACCUAAAGACACAGAGGGAGCAGGAUAAGGAGGAGAGAAAGGGAUAAAAUGAAGGGAGCGCAAGGACGAUGAUAUUUCCCUUUUUCGGUUUAGUUACCGUGGCAAAUUAGGGGAAAUAAGUGUUUCUUUCAUGUAUGUUAACCAAAAUAAAAUGAUUCAUCAU